UCUUCGUCUCCUCUCAUUUGCUCCCCGAAACCUAGGUAGAUUUUUUAAUUUUUUAACAAAUUACCCAAUUCAAUUCCCUCUCAAAAUCCCUAGAUUUUCUAUCCCUUUUCCUUUCAGAUUCUUGCCCAAUUACGGGAAUUUCGUCCAGUCAGGAGGGCAUGGGAAGGAUUCUCAGAGAAGCCACCAAGCCCUUUUCUUCUUCCUCUUCUUCGGCGUCUAAUUCGUCGACGACGACUUCCACUUCGAUUUCGGAGACGGUGAAUGGGUCACACCAGUUCAAGAUCACGGCUUAUUCUUUAUCCAAGGGAUUGGGGAUCGGGAAAUAUAUUGCGUC
rnacentral:misc_RNA from 1 species